CACGUAGGCGGAUAUUUAAGUCAGGGGUGAAAUCCCAGAGCUCAACUCUGGAACUGCCUUUGAUACUGGGCAUCUUGAGUAUGGAAGAGGUAAGUGGAAUUCCGAGUGUAGAGGUGAAAUUCGUAGAUAUUCGGAGGAACACCAGUGGCAAAGGCGGCUUACUGGUCCAUUACUGACGCUGAGGUGCGAAAGCGUGGGGAGCAAACA
rnacentral:rRNA from 1 species